rfam:Paracoccidioides brasiliensis Pb18 unplaced genomic scaffold supercont2.2, whole genome shotgun sequence.
GGCACUAUGGCGGAGUGGUUAACGCGAUGCCCUGCUAUUAAUUCUUCAUAAGAACAUAGUGAGGCAUUUCCUUCGGGAGCGCAGGUUCGAAUCCUGCUGGUGUCG